AACCACACUUCUGGUCACAUCACCUUGAACAGGAUACCACAGAGCUGGGAAAGAUUCAGAAAAGGGCAACCAAACGGAUCAAGGCAGUCAGAACAACUCCCUUAUGAGGCAAGUUACAAGGUUUGGAGUUUUGGGGAGCUGAAAGUAAGGAGGGCCAAAGUGCUUUGAAUGAAUAGAAAUCAAAUGAAUGAAUGAAUGAUAUCCCACCGCUUUCCCUAAAUGAAUGAAUGAAUGAUAUCCCAGCUUUUCCCCUGAAUGAAUGAAUGAUAUCCCAUCGUUUUCCCUGAAUGAAUGAUAUCCCACCAUUUUCUCUGAAUGAAUGAAUGAGUGAAUGAAUGAAUGAAUGAAUGAAUGAUAUCCCACCGUUUUCCCUGACAGGAACUCAAGGCAGCCUACAGCUAAAAUUUUAUUUCCAUUUACUGUAGCUGUUGAAGGUGUUGUACAUGAUCCCUUCCCUCGCAUGUUUUUCUCCUCACAACAAUCUUGUAAUUGUCUCAAGAUGGUCAUGCGAGGUUUAUGGGGAAACUGGCAUUUGAACCUGAUAGAUUUCAAUGCUUUGCUGUGUUCAUUGGGCAGGCGGAAUGGGGGCAACGCAGAGCUCAAACAAUGAUCCUUAGCACUGAAACAGGAAUGUUGGAAGUGUGUGACCUCUUGAGAGUUCCAGAGGGCACAAAGCACCACAACUUGAAUUUUCUGAGCUUCACUGUGUGGGGACUACAGAGAGGUGUGUAUUGGAAUUGCAUUUAGAAGUCUGGUUCUGUACUCCCCCACACCAUCACCUCAAUCUCACUAAACAGGUGGGGAGGCCGUGGUACACCUCAGGUACCAAAAUGUCUUAGGCCGGCACAGAAAUAUAUACUCCAUCCAUCCUUUCCCUGCCCCCUCCAAUGGCUAGCACAACACAGAGCUCCCCAGGGUACCUUCCAGGGAACAAUGAGCUGCCUAUGCUAUGACUGAGCUUUUAGUCACGCCAGCCGGACCCCACAGAAGCUCCUCAGAAACCACUCAUGAUGUAUCAUCGACUCAGGCAACAGGGGCAGGAAAAUAAUAAUAAUAAUAAUAAUAAUAAUAAUAAUAAUAAUAAUUUUAUUUUUACCCCAUCCAUCUGGCUAGGUUUCCCCAGCCACUGUGGGUGGCUUCCAACAAAAUAUUAAAAAUACAAUAAAGCAGUGAACAGGGCUGCCUUCAGAUGUCUUCUAAAAGUCAGAUAGUUGUUUAUUUCCCUGACAUCUGGAGGGAGGGCGUUCCACAGGGCGGGUGCCACUACCAAAAAGGCCCUCUGCAUGGUUCCCUGUAACUUGGCUUCUCACAGGGAGGGAACCGCCAGAAGGCCCUCAGACCUGGACCUCUGUGUCCAGGCAGAACGAUGGCGAUGGAGAUGCUCCUUCAGAUAUAUUGGGUUGAGGCUGUUUAGGAAAGAUCAGAGAGAGGACAUUUCCCCAUCCUCAGGCCCCAUCUCUUCAUCUUAGUCUAAUUAUUUGCUCUAGGAAGCAGGCAAUCAUCAUUUGGACCCUGUUCUCUUCGAGUUUGCUCUGAAUCACACAAUGACUUAUUUGCAAGAUCUGAAGAGCUUGCCUUAUCCUACUUUGAGUUUGCAGUAUAGAUCCCAUGGAAGUAAACAGGCUGGUUUCUAUGGUGGUAUACGAGGAAGAAGAUUCAUCUCUGUGUUUGUUUAUUACUGGUCAAAUUCUUUUAUUCCCACAAGGUCUCUCUUUCUCGCUAGCAACAAAGAAAAUCCCGGCAAGAGUUAUUAAGCAGAUAGCAGUCAACGACUUAUUUAACCAUAGUAUCUUUGAAUACUUAAAAAGUAGAGACAUCACCUUGCCAACAAAGGUCCGUAUAGUAAAAGCUUUUCCCAGUAGUGAUGUAUGGAAGUGAGAGCUGGAUCAUAAAGAAGGCUGAUCGAUGAAGAAUUGAUGCUUUUGAAUUAUGGUGCUGGAGGAGACUCUUGAGAGUCCCAUGGACUGCAAGAAGAUCCAACCUACCCAUUCUGAAGGAAAUCAGCCCUGAGUGCUCACUGGAAGGACAGAUCCUGAUGCUGAGGCUCCAAGACUUUGGCCACCUCAUGAGAAGAGAAGACUCCCUGGAAAAGACCCUGAUGUUGGGAAAGAUGGAGGGCACAAGGAGAAGGGGACGACAGAGGACGAGAUGGUUGGAUAGUGUUCGUGAAGCUACCAGCAUGAGUUUGACCAAACUGCGGGAGGCAGUGGAAGACAGAAGUGCCUGGCGUGCUCUGGUCCAGGGGGUCAUGAAGAGUCGGACAUGGCUAAACGACUAAACAACAACAACAUCUAUGAAUAAUUGAUGUUUUUUAUCUGUAUUAAAUCUUACCUUUUCAAUAUGUAAGUUCUAUAUAUGUGGCUGGGGAAAUCCAGCCAGAUGGGCAGGGUAUAAUUAAUAAAAUUACCACCAUCAUGUGAUUUACGUAGUAUUUUAAAGACUAGGCAGCAGUGUGAUUUUAUGGAGUAUUUUGAACUGUUGGGUUCUGUACCAUACUUAUCUUAUAUGUGAAUGACCUAUGGC
rnacentral:lncRNA from 1 species